rnacentral:misc_RNA from 1 species
GAUGAAGAACGCAGCGAAAUGCGAUAAGUAAUGUGAAUUGCAGAAUUCAGUGAAUCAUCGAAUCUUUGAACGCAUCUUGCGCUCCUUGGUAUUCCUUGGAGCAUGCCUGUUUGAGUAUCAUGAGCAAAUCUCAAAGUCAAUUCCUUUUGUUAAUUCAAUUGGUUUUGCUUUGGCCUUGGAGGUCUUGCAGAUUUUCACAGUCUGCUCCUCUUAAAUGCAUUAGCUGGAUCUCAGUAAUUAUGCUUGGUUCCACUCGGCGUGAUAAGUAUCACUCGCUGAGGACACUGUUAAAAAGGUGGCCAGGAAAAUACUGAUUGAACCGCUUCUAACGGUCUAUUAAGUUAGACAAUUACCCUUAAGUUUGAUCUCAAAUCAGGUAGGACUACCCGCUGAACUUAAGCAUAUCAAUAAGCGGAGGA